GUGUGAAGAAUAGUAAGAAGGAGUUGCCUGGGUGUGAGUUUGCAGACAGCAGCAGAAAGAGAAGAAGAAGCCAAAUAUAUUUCAUGCUGAGAAGGACAAAAGCACCCAGAGCGGUCUAGAGAGCCCACUGGAGAAAAGGUAAGAUGAAAGAAAAACAUCUUCUGUCUCUUUCCUCCUUGCUCUGUCUUUCUGUCAUGGCCUAUCAUUCUCUGCCUUCCUGUCUCUCCAUCACUGUCUUGGGUUCUCUCCUUCUCUGCCUCCUCUCUCCUAGAAAGGCAACCCCCUGGUGGCGUCUAUUGUCAACAACUGUGACACUACAGCCAGGGGCCCACCACCUGCAAAUUGCCUUCCAGGCCCCCUAUGGCCACUGAUAUUAGAAGAGGCUCCAAUUGUCCUCAUAUGGAUAAUAACCAGAUGGGUUGGGUCAGGCUGUUCUGCCUGCUGAGUUAACCACACCACACCCCUGAAGGACUUGGAGGACUGUGUGGCAGGAUGCAAUGCUAUGCAGCAGCCUGGAGCCACCUACGGAGUGUGCCAGCUUCAGGGUCCCCAGUCACCUGCAGGAAGCUGCAUAUCCUGUUUGCCUCCAGGUAGCACAUCCACUGGGGACCAAAGAAGGUUAGAAUCGAUCUAGAUUCUCGACUGGAAAAGCACAUCAGGAAAUGUAGCUAACACGCAGCCUUUUCUAGUGUGGCUAAAGGAGGCUUUGUUUUUAUUCAUUCAAAACCAAUGGCUUGGGCCUCCCCAGCACAGUGCUAGACAGGAGAAUCCAGAGAUAAGUAAAACACAGAAUCUGCCCUCAAGGAGGCCAGAUCUUGUAGGAUGCUAGGACAGUGGACCCACGACAAUUAGAACUGCAAGGAAAUUGGACUGAUAGUCUUUGCUCACAUUGCUUAUAGUAGUUUGCAAGGUUGAGCCAUAAUUUCAAGUUGUUACAUUUAUUUGUUAGACAUUAGGAUGAGUACUAGUUCUGGCCAAGAAGUAUUUCCAUUUCCCCAUUGCCUCUCUCUUACAACCAGAAAACCAUUAAGGGGCACAGAAUAAGGCAGACUGCCUAAUGCUCUCGACCUGAGGAGCAACAAGGUGGUGAGUUCCCUGGGUGUCUUCUUUGCCUCUCCUAUACCCUGUACAGGGCACUGCAGAACCCUCCAAGUCAGAGCCAUUCACAGACACAGACAAAAAAGCUUCAAGAAAAUCCUGUUUCCCUCAGCCAAAGGAUCAGAAAAAGGGUCAUCUAAUCACAGAAAACCAUUAUGGCAGUACCUGCCCUGCUCAAGCCACACUCCAAUAAAAAAACUACAGUCCGUCGACAGGACCAAGAGGAGCUGAGCUUCUAUUCCACUCCCAUCCCUGACCCCAUAUAAACAGACAAAGGCACACUAAUUCCCACACCAGUGUAGAAUCAAUGGGAUCCACCUACCUAUAAGACUGAACAUGACAAUUCAAGUCAGGGCUCCAUGCCCUCUUUACCCUGGGCAUUAGUGAGUUGAGCUGUGCCUUCACCCUCAUCUAGCACCAACAGAACAGGCCAAGGUGGUGCAAGGCAGGGCUAGUCUCACUUUACUUCCUCCUGGCUUCCUGGUACUGACAGGGCCCACUGAAGACCCGAGCCUCCACCCCACUGGCAACAGUGAAAGGGAAGAAGAUGGUGGGAAGAGUGAAAGAGAACAAGCAGGGAUAGUUAGCACUCUGCUUCUUCCUCCCCUCUCCUGCUGUCAUCUGCAUCUACCUGAAACUUGGGCUUUCACUGCUAGCCUGCAGCAACAAAGCAGAGGCAGUGGACAAGGAGGAAGCCACGCGGGCAGGCGCAAGAGUGACAACUUGAGACCCUUCCAGAGACUAUCAAGAAAGAGGUGAUUUGCAUUUCUCUGAUGGCCAGUGAUGAUGAGCAUUUUUUUCAUGCAUCUGUUGGCUGCACAAAUGUCUUCUUUUGAGAUAUCAUCUCACACCAGAUAGAAUGGCGAUCAUUAGAAAGUCAAGAAACAACAGGUGCUGGAGAGGUUGUGGAGAAAUAGGAACACUUUUACACUGUUGGUGGGAGUGUAAACUAGUUCAACCAUUGUGGAAGACAGUGUGGCGAUUCCUCAGGGAUCUAGAACUAGAAAUACCAUUGGACCCAGCCAUCCCAUUACUGGGUAUAUACCCAGAGGAUUAUAAAACAUGCUGCUAUGAAGACACAUGCACAUGUAUGUUUAUUGCAGCACUACUCACAAUAGCAAAAACUUGGAACCAACCUAAAUGUCCAACAAUGAUAGACUGGAUUAAGAAAAUGUGGCACAUAUACACCAUGGAAUACUAUGCAGCCAUAAAAAAUGAUGAGUGCAUGUCCUUUGUAGGGACAUGGAUGAAGCUGGAAACCAUCAUUCUCAGCAAACUAUCACAAGGACAAAAAAACAAACACCACAUGUUCUCACUCACAGGUGGGAAUUGAACAAUGAGAACACUUGGACACAGGAAGGGGAACAUCACACACCAGGGCCUGUUGUGGGGUGGGGGGAGGGGGGAGGGAUAGCAUUAGGAGAUAUACCUAAUGUAAAUGACGAGUUAAUGGGUGCAGCACACCAACAUGGCACAUGUAUACAUAUGUAACAAACCUGCACGUUGUGCACAUGUACCCUAGAACUUAAAGUAUAGUAACAAAUAUAUAUAUUUAAAAAAAUUAAAAGUAAAUAAAAAAAAGAAAGAGAUGAAUCCUGGGACCUGCCCCUUAAAGGUGUGUGCUGAUCUAACCAAUGAAUUUAGGAAUAAACUGUGAAAGCAAUUUUACCCUAA